UACGGAGGGGGCUAGCGUUGUUCGGAAUGACUGGGCGUAAAGCGCGCGUAGGCGGAUUGGCAAGUUGGGGGUGAAAUCCCGGGGCUCAACCUCGGAAUGGCCUUCAAGACUGCUGGUCUUGAGUUCGAGAGAGGUGAGUGGAAUUCCGAGUGUAGAGGUGAAAUGCGCAGAUAUUCGCAGGAACACCAGUGGCGAAGGCGGCUCACUGGUCCAUAACUGACGCUGAGGUGCGAAAGCGUGGGGAGCAAACAGG
rnacentral:rRNA from 1 species